CUGUAUGGCGGCUGUGCGCGGGAGACCUUCGGGUCUGCCGGUUUCGUGAAUUUCCGGUUCGCCAACCUGCGUACAGCUGCCACCCUA
rnacentral:antisense_RNA from 1 species